rnacentral:rRNA from 1 species
GUCUCCGUUGGUGACCAGCGGAGGGAUCAUUACCGAGUGCAAACUCAUAACCCUUUGUGAACCUAUAACUGUUGCUUCGGCGGCUCGCCCCCGGGCGGGCCCGCCGGUACCGUCAGCAUCUCUGUUUGAACCCGACGAUACUUCUGAGUGUUCUUAGCGAACUGUUAAAACUUUCAACAACGGAUCUCUUGGCUCUAGCAUCGAUGAAGAACGCAGCGAAACGCGAUAAGUAGUGUGAAUUGCAGAAUUCAGUGAAUCAUCGAAUCUUUGAACGCACAUGGCGCCUCCCAGCAUCCUGGGAGGCAUGCCUGUCCGAGCGUCGUUUCAACCCUCGAGCCCCAGUGGCCCGGUGUUGGGGAUCUACGCCCCGUCGUAGGCCCUGAAAAGCAGUGGCGGACCCGUAGCGGCCCUCCCCUUGCGUAGUAGCAUCCGCCUCGCAUCGGGAGCCCUCGGGCACCAGCCUCUAAACCCCCUACAAGCCCGCCUAGGCGGCACAAGGUUGACCUCGGAUCAGGUAGGAAUACCCGCUGAACUUAAGCAUAUCAAUAAGCGGAGGAAAAGAAACCAACAGGGAUUGCCCUAGUAACGGCGAGUGAAGCGGCAACAGCUCAAAUUUGAAAUCUGGCUCCUCCGGGGUCCGAGUUGUAAUUUGCAGAGGACGCCUCGGGUACGGGUUCCUUCCGAGUUCCCUGGAACGGGACGCCAUAGAGGGUGAGAGCCCCGUCUGGUCGGAAACCCAGCCCAUGUGAGGCUCCCUCGACGAGUCGAGUAGUUUGGGAAUGCUGCUCUAAGGGGAGGUAUACUCCUUCCAAGGCUAAAUACCGGCUAGAGACCGAUAGCGCACAAGUAGAGUGAUCGAAAGAUGAAAAGCACUUUGAAAAGAGAGUCAAAUAGCACGUGAAAUUGUUGAAAGGGAAGCGCUCGCUACCAGACUUGGGU